GACGAACGCUGGCGGCGUGCUUAACACAUGCAAGUCGAACGGAAAGGCCCUGCUUUUGUGGGGUGCUCGAGUGGCGAACGGGUGAGUAACACGUUAGUAACCUGCCCUUGACUUUGGGAUAACUUCAGGAAACUGGGGCUAAUACCGGAUAGGAGCUCCUGCUGAAUGGUGGGGGUUGGAAAGUUUCGGCGGUUGGGGAGGGACUCGCGGCUCAUCAGCUUGUUGGGUUGGUAGUGGCUUACCAAGGUUUUGAAGGGUAGCCUGCCUGAGAGGGUGACCGGCCACAUUGGGACUGAGAUGCGGCACGGACUCCUACGGGAGGCAGCAGUGGGGAAUAUUGCACAAUGGGCGGAAGCCUGAUGCAGCAACGCCGCGUGCGGGAUGACGGCCUGCGGGUUGGAAACCGCUUUCGCCUGUGACGAAGCGAGAGUGACGGUAAUGGGUAAAGAAGCACCGGCUAACUACGUG
rnacentral:rRNA from 1 species